AACGCGUUAAGUAUUCCGCCUGGGGAGUACGCCCGCAAGGCUAAAACUCAAAGGAAUUGACGGGGAUCCACACAAGCGGUGGAGCAUGUGGUUUAAUUCGACGAUAAGCGAGAAACCUUACCUAGGCUUGACAUCUCGAGAACCUUGUGGAAACACCGAGGGUGCCCUUGUGGAACUCGAUGACAGGUGCUGCAUGGUUGUCGUCAGCUCGUGCCGUGAGGUGUACGGUUAAGUCCGAUAACGAGCGCAACCCUUGUCACUAGUUGUAUUUCUCUAGUGAGACUGCCCGUGUAAGCGGGAGGAAGGUGAGGAUGACGUCAAAUCAGCAUGGCUCUUACGCCUAGGGCUACACACGUGCUACAAUGGGGUAUACAAUGGGUAGCCAACCCGCGAGGGGGAGCCAAUCCCACCAAAGUACCUCUAAGUUCGGAUUGAAGGCUGAAAUUCGCCUUCAUGAAGUUGGAAUCGCUAGUAAACGCCAAUCAGCCAUGUGGCGUUGAAUAUGUUCCUGGAUCUUGUACACACCGCCCGUCACGACAUGGAAGAUGGGGGCGCCAGAAGCUGCGUUAGCUAACCUUUUAUCGGGAAGCGCGCAACCAAGGCGAAAUCAUUGACUGGGUCGAAGUCGUAACAAGGUAACCGUA
rnacentral:rRNA from 1 species